ACUAGCUUGCUAAGAUUCAUGAUGGAUGGAUCUCUACAACUUACAUGUCUUGUGAUUCAUAGUAUUAGACAUAUAUUAUCAAGACUAUCUUAAUAAUGUUUUUGGAAACCCAUAUUAUGUCCAAACAUUGAAUCACCAUUUAGUUGUAGCUAGCAAUCUUCGAAUUAAUUGAAACCAAGACUACGUUAAAGAUGGUUUCUUCUAAGUCAACCAAUCUCUUUAAUUGUAGUCACCUUAAGCUACCAAUUAGCUAUGGAGGUUUCAUUAUUUCGGGUCAAAUGGUACUUUACCACUUCCUUGAGUAUAUAUCGUAUAUACACUCAAUGUAGUCAUAAGGAUUUUCAUUCUUAUUUCUUUCGAAUUAAGAGGUGCAACUCUAUGACAUAGUCAUAAAGUUCAAACCAUUCAACUGAGACGGUUUAUAAAUCCUUCUCGACUACCUUGGAGCUUGUGGUGUAGGAACUAGGUUGUUAUAUUUGUUGAUCACUAUCUUGUUUCUCAAAGAACCCAUUCUUUGAGUUCUAUCUCUCGUUCAUUUGCUCUAUCUUAGGCAAAUCCUGGUGUAGGAUUACAAUGAACUACCCAACAAACAACAUUUGUUAGUUGGUUUAUAGAAGUGAUAUCCAAAUGUUAACUUAAGGAUACCCACAAGAUAAUUCUCAAACAAAUAUUGCUUAUUAGCACACAACCCCAAAUCUUAACAUGAUUAAGAUUUGUCUUUCUUUCCAACUACAUCUUAUGGAGUCAUGAAAAUUUUGGAAGAUCUUCUAAUUGACAAUCAUAUUGUUUUUUAGAAGUAUAUAUCCUAUAUAUGGGUAAUAGAUAACAUCUAAUGAACUAAAUCUUAUUCGAGUUCGUUCUUCUCCUAAUGGAGAAAUUCAUUAUCUUAUGAUGCUUCUUUCCUUGAUAUUUUUCAAGGAAACUGUUCUAAAGUGUUAUCUUUCCUUGGAUCAAAUCUAAGGAGGCAAAUACUUUAGACGUCUUACUCAUCAACUUACAUUUCUUGAAUUCUUUGAAACCUUUUACAAAGUAUUCGGACUUGUGUUUAUUCAAAAUAAACUAUAGUCCAACCGAGAGUGAUCUUCGGUGAAUGUCAUACAACAUGAGUAGUAUUAUGUUGUGGACAAGUGCCACUAACAUCUAAGUGAAUUAACCUCAACAACUUUGUGAUUCUUUCUUCUUUCCAAAAGAAUAAAGAUUCGAACAUUUCGCAUCUAUACAAUUUUAAUAAGAAGGUGUUGGAUCCGGAUCUAACGAUCCAAAGCAUCCAUCUAUGACCAACUCAUAUUUUAUGUUUUUGAGGUAUCACAACUCAGUUGAGAUUAGUCACUACCUUGCAACCUUUUGGGUUUUAAGCAUCGUUAUAUUAUAAACAGUUAACACUAUCAUAUCAUCUCUACUAUAGAGACAAUCAAUUAGAUUACAAUAAUCUAAUCAUUGAUUAAUAAAGAACAAUGUUUUGUCAAACAAAACAUUCAUCCAUCUCUACUAUAGUGACGGAAUUAAGUUCCUUAAAAUUGGAAUGUAAAGACAAUCUUUGGUUUUUUUUUCAAUUUCUUUGGUAGUUCAUAUAAGGAAGUAAGUACUAUCUGCUUUCGUAGAGAUCUUUAUUUUAUUCAUGUUUCGAAUGUGAAGCACCUUUUUCUUCUCUCAUAUAUCUUUUACUUCUUAUUAGUCACACUUUUACAACGAUUGUAAAACAUAGUUACUAAUAUGGAAUCAAGCAUUCAAGUAGAAGAACCAACUGUUUUGAACUAUUCAAGAACAAUUUACAACACAUUCGAAAGGUGUGUUCUUGACACUUGCAAGACAUUUCUUGCAAAUACCCCUUCCAAUGUCCAUCCUUUCAUAAAGAAAGUUUGUUCCCUAGGAGUUAAUUUUAUCUUCUUCAUUUGACUUCUCCUUUGACUACAAUAGUCAUGGUCCCUAAACUCCCACUAUCUCUCUUGAAACUUAUUUUAAUUGUGUUAUACACAUCAAACGAUUUGGAGAGCGUGUGGUUAUUGUUCACUAUAUAGUUUACAAUAAACUUAGUGAACCAUUUGGAUAGGGACACAAAGGUGAAGUCCUUGCCUAGUUUCCGUCUCUAGAAGUGGUGUAACACUUCAACACUCAAUGAUUCAAAAUCAUCAUAAGUCCAUGUUGAUGGACUAUUUUUGUCAACCAACCAUUAUGUUCUAAACAUAAUUACAAACUUUCAAGAGUUGUUCAAGGCAACUCUCAUUUCUUCAUACAACAAUUUGUAAGUGAAGAAUCAUGGCACAUAAAGUGUCCAUGCCCUUGUGCUUACUUCUAAAGUUCCUUGUUCAUGUAACAAAAAAAACAAGCACUAAUGUUUGCAUUGACUAAGGGUUGUUCAAAGCAACUCUUAUUUCUUCAUACAACGAUUUGUAAGUGAAGAAUUAUGACAUUAAAAGUGUUGUCCUCCUUAUGAUAGACUUAUAUAACAUUUUCUUCCAAUGGUACAUUAUCAAUAGGAAGAUUGUGAGGAUGAGACUACUUAGGUACAUAUACAAUCCAUUUA
rnacentral:lncRNA from 1 species